GAUAAUUCGCUUGUUUACAGCUCAUAAACUCCUUCAUUUGAUUAGCAUCUAGUUUAUCUAGUACUGCCCAUAAUGGCUCCAUACAACCCUUCUCCACCCAAGACAGUAAUAGUGUUCUAAAAAUCUCCCGCUCUAUCACGUAAGCACGAUGACUAUCAAAUCCCUCUUUCGCCCAUAUGUGUAUAAAAAGCUUUUUAGCUGCAUCUACAUAAUCUCCUGAAUAGUUUUGUAUUUCUAUGGAGUGCAAGCGGGCAUAAUAACUACCUUGUGAAAGGUCACUUGGGCUUAAACAAU